UAGCCGUAAACGAUACUCGCUAGGUGUCGGCCACGGUGCGACCGUUGUCGGUGCCGUAGGGAAGCCGUGAAGCGAGCCACCUGGGAAGUACGGCCGCAAGGCUGAAACUUAAAGGAAUUGGCGGGGAGCACAACAACGGGUGGAGCUUGCGGUUUAAUUGGAUUCAACGCCGGAAAUCUUACCGGGACCGACAGCAACAUGAAGGCCAAGCUGAAGACUUUGCCGGAUUAGCUGAGAGGUGGUGCAUGGCGUAGUCGUGU
rnacentral:rRNA from 1 species